rnacentral:rRNA from 1 species
UACAGAGGUCUCAAGCGUUGUUCGGAUUCAUUGGGCGUAAAGGGUGCGUAGGCGGCGCGGUAAGUCGGGUGUGAAAUCUUGGAGCUUAACUCCGAAACUGCAUUCGAUACUGCCGUGCUUGAGGACUGGAGAGGAGACUGGAAUUUACGGUGUAGCGGUGAAAUGCGUAGAUAUCGUGAAGGAAGACCAGUGGCGAAGGCGGGGUC